rnacentral:rRNA from 1 species
UACGUAGGGUGCAAGCGUUUGUCCGGAAUUAUUGGGCGUAAAGAGCUCGUAGGCGGUCUGUCGCGUCGGCUGUGAAAACCCGGAGCUCAACUCCGGGCCUGCAGUCGAUACGGGCAGACUGGAGUUCGGCAGGGGAGACUGGAAUUCCUGGUGUAGCGGUGGAAUGCGCAGAUAUCAGGAGGAACACCGAUGGCGAAGGCAGCUCGCUGGGACGGUACUGACGCUGGAGGCGCGAAAGCGUGGGGAGCGAACAGG